CUUUGAAGUACUGCACUUCCUAAAAUAAUAGGAGGGUUAUCUAAACACGCCCAUCGUGCAUCACAAUUACUGUACUACACUUUUACUUACAGAAAAUUCAUGGCGUAAGUGGAGAGUAAGUGCUCCUGUGGAACAGGCCUAAUUAAGAAGUUCCCAUGAUGUGUGGAAUUAGUUCCAGGGACACAGGAGCCAAGUCUGUGUUUCAGACCUGGGCACACAGAAUCCUCCCAGGCAGAGCAGCCUGGGGGGGAAAUCUUACAGCCAGUGAGUUUUAUUAAGCUAAAAAUGAUGUCAUUGUCCUGUAUCUCACCUCUUCCCUCCCCAUUUCCCACCUCCACACUCUGCCAGCCUGUGACAUCAGAUGCAGGUCAACAACAACUGUUACAUCACAUGCAACUGGCAAUGUUCCAUUUUCCAUCUGUGCUGGAGCAAGAAGCCUUAAAACAGCAUAAACCAACCUGAAACGUGAAGAGAAUGCAUCAACAUCACUUUGCAAUCACUGCAGCAGAUGCUGCAGGAGCAUCUCCCUUGUGGGGACAUCCCACCUGUCUGCCACACAGAAGAACCUGAAUCUCUUCAGAGAUUUACAUCACACUUAGUAUUCAAGGAAUAAUUUAAUUUUGGGGGAAAACUAAAAGCUGUGACAGCAGCUGGAGAAAUGUCCAGUUUCUACACAGCAAGAGAUUACUUGUGACUGCACAAGCCCAAAGGGAUCACAGCAAAACCCUACCAGAGAGUCCAUAUUUUGCUUUUUUGAAUCAUUGGAAAUGCAGGGAUUGAAGAGUUUGCAAGAAAAUACGUACACACUCUGUUUCCUGAGGGACUCCAUGGGUCUUUGAGUAGGAUAAUCCUCCUUCCUUCCCUAAGAUCAUCCAUGUCUCAUCACAAUGAGCACACCUCUGCCAGGAGGUUCCCAGGAGGAUUUCCAAACACCACACACCCCCUUGCCAGGAAACCUCGUCAACAAUUCCAGGGAAGGUUAAAGGACAGGCACAAUGGAAAUUCAGCAUCAAUGGGAGCAAAUGAACAACGGUCCCGAGGCACCACAGAAUUCAUGGCCAACAAAAUGGCAAUUCCAGAAGGCACUAAAAGGCAUCCAGAGUCCUAAUGGCCACUAACAAGUUUGAUUUUGCUAAUUAGAGGUGGAUAUCUUAUGACAUGGGCUGGAAGCCUCCAUUCCCAGUAUCCUCUGUGGCCUCUAACACUUGCCUUUUAAAGAAGAUAAUUUUUUUAACAUUAUUUUAAAGAUAGAAAUAAGUAUAUUUUAAAGAUGAGGAUAAAUAGAAGUCUUUCAUGGGCUUGCCUUUAUAAGUUAGAAAGCAUUUUGAGCAUCACGCUUGAGACAAAAUCUAGGUUCUUUCUGGUGAAAAAUCUCAGAGCAAGAUAACAAACCAUUCCAAUACAAAUGAACACCAAUUCUGAUGACUUCAGCAGGGGUUUUACUGAACAGAAGCAUUUCAUAGCAUCUUGCUGUUGUUCUACAUAAAAAUAAUUCCCAUUCCAUCCACAACUCUUGGGUCUUAGCUUUAGUGUAACAAUGGCAUCUUCCAUCCCAUUAAUUUUAUUCUGACAGGCAACAUAUUUAGAAAACCACUUAAUAAUUCAGUAUUUCCUUAGUCAACAUAGACCAUCCCUUUCCAGACACAAACAACAUUGUGGGAUUAAUUCUGCUGUGCUUAUGUGCAAGUGGACUACAAGAAAAUGGGAAUAAACAACAUUGUGGGAUUAAUUCUGCUGUUUUUAUGUGCAAGUGGACUACAAGAAAAUGGGAAUGACAUAAACAGAAGUAAGCACUCCUAAAGCAGAACUUCAAAUUUUAUCUAUGACUGCCUUUAAAGCUAUACUCAAAUUAGCUCAAAAUGCUGAGAAUUUCCCUAAGGGCUAGAUCUCAGCUCAUGUUAAUUACAUCACUCCACCGAAGGUAACAAAUCCAUGUGGAUUUCUACCACCUGGGAAGUGUAGAAGCAGGAAGAAGCAACCAAUGUAUCUGAAGGCAGCACAUAAAUCUUGUAAGGAAAAUAAGCAAGUUUCACACCAAAGCCCAGAAGAGCAGCACUGGAGCUGUUUGCUUCCUUCAAGCUGCGUGAGGAGAAUCAGCCAAGCACAAGCUCCUGCCCCUCAGAGACAGGGGAAUAGCUGAGUGUGGUUUCCAAAUAACUAAAAGUGAGCUGGCCAAAAAAAAAUGAGGUCUCUGAAUAUUACUGAAAUAUUUGGGUGUGAUGUCUUUCAGCUCCUAACAAACCUUUUGUCCCUUCUUUAGGAAUUUUCAGUGAUGUUCCACCUGAGGCUCUUUAUUUUGCUCAUUUAAUUGUUCUC
rnacentral:lncRNA from 1 species